UACAGAGGGUGCGAGCGUUAAUCGGAAUUACUGGGCGUAAAGCGCGCGUAGGCGGCUUUGCAAGUCGGGUGUGAAAUCCCCAGGCUUAACUCCGAAACUGCAUUCGAUACUGCGGUGCUUGAGGACUGGAGAGGAGACUGGAAUUUACGGUGUAGCAGUGAAAUGCGUAGAGAUCGUAAGGAAGACCAGUGGCGAAGGCGGGUCUCUGGACAGUUCCUGACACUGAGGCACGAAGGCCAGGGGAGCAAACGGG
rnacentral:rRNA from 1 species